UUGUCAUAAAACCCAGAAAUAAACUGACCAUCCUAUUUUACUGUGGUUGAACCACUUUGAAACUUUCAUGCCUCAUGCAGUUCCGGUCAAAAAUCAAAAGUUUAGUAACAAGAGAACAUACAAUCAAAUAUGUUAGUCUCGGAAACAAAAGGCAGUGCAAGCAUAAUUGUUAUGGGAUCUACGCCACUGAAGCAAUAGGCCAUAAUAAUAAGCACAACGUUCAUUCAGAGGCAAAGAUACCUGCAACAGUUUUGCUGGCCCGACACAGAACAGUAGGAGGAAGGAAGUUUAGAAUAUGGGUUGCGGCUAAAGGAG
rnacentral:lncRNA from 1 species